rnacentral:rRNA from 1 species
UACGAAGGGGGCUAGCGUUGCUCGGAAUCACUGGGCGUAAAGGGCUCGUAGGUGGCCAACUAAGUCAGACGUGAAAUCCCUCGGCUUAACCGGGGAACUGCGUCUGAUACUGGAUGGCUUGAGGUUGGGAGAGGGAUGCGGAAUUCCAGGUGUAGCGGUGAAAUGCGUAGAUAUCUGGAGGAACACCGGUGGCGAAGGCGGCAUCCUGGACCAAUUCUGACGCUGAGGAGCGAAAGCCAGGGGAGCAAACGGG